UGGGGAUGUUGUUUUGGGUGUUGUUUAGUUUUUUGUUUGUUUGUUUACAAAGUGGACAGGCACUCUUCCCACUUGUUGUGUUGCGUCUUAUCAGUGUUGGUACCAAGGCAGUGCCUGAUAGAUUCCCUAGUCAAUCAGUGCUUUCAGUUUUCACUUAAAGCCAUCCUUCCCAGCAAGAUUUCUUACACACACUUCACAGAACUCAGAAUCCACAGGAAGGAGGCCACGGGACUGGCCUGGAAGACAACUCAGCUACAAACGAGACUCCAUGCCGAACUCAAAAUCUCUGCUUCCUUCUGAAGAUGAAGUCUUUGUUAUUGGGUCAAGCUUGACUCCUCCUCUGCCUUUCUCAGAAGGCAUCCUCUCCCAGGAAAUUUCCUCCAUCCUUUGUCCUUCAUGCAAUGAGGAGGCAGUGCCCUGUAGGGUUUCAGAGAUGACCAGACAUGUCUGUAUCCAAAGGGUCUGGCUCAGGCAAGACCCUAGCUCAUGGUAUUUAUCAUAUUCUGACCUCUCACAUAAUCAAAGCCAUAAGCUUCAACCCUCCCUGACCCCCAAAAUUGCUUAGUAGACCAAUAUUUUGCUUGCUGAACUCUUUACUAACUCUGAUUUUUAUCAAAUAAUCAUUAUCCAAAUAUUUGAUAAAAAAUUAAUACCAUCAUAGAAGUCUGCCAAGUGAACAUGUUCAAUGGACACCAUGGAAUAUACCGAGAAAGAGGCAUUCGGAUGAUUCCUCAGAGAGUCACUUCCAAUGGCACCAGAAAGGUUUGUGCAAGGCAAUCGUCUGCCCACAACAGCAGGGUGACUGUCUAUGAUUGCGGAAUCUUGGAGAUGGUGUGCUGCCAAGGUCAAAGAACACAGAAAGAGGACCAUACAAUGGCUUCUGUUCUGAGAAAGAAUGUUCUGCCACAUAUAUAAAUGUGGAUUGAAGAGAAAAGUGGCAUUUUAGCAAUUUUAUGAAAAUGGAAGUUAUCCAGUAAACUAAGCCUGUGUUCUUCUCAGGGUCAGCUAAUGUGACUCCAAAAAACAUUCUGCUCCGUUAAACAUGCAUGAAGAAGUUAUAUUUUGUGUAAAUGUACUUCCCAGUGUGAUUAGCGUUCUUUCAAGGAGAUACCUUAUUGAAUAGGUUUUUCAACUUCACAUGUUCACAUUCUUGAAAGAAUAAUGGAUCCUUCAUUAAAGACAUCACAGCGUUUUGGGUGUCAUGCUUGAUGACACACAAUGAAUUGGUCAUUAAGGAAAUUCAGCCACGCAGAAAGGACAGGAGAACAACUGGUUGACUCUUCUAAUGACUCAGACAAUGCUGGCAAAGCUGCUUUCACUUAUGGCUGGUUUAUAGUUGCAGAACAAGCAUUAAUUUUUCAGACAUAACAAAUAGGUGAAAGAUUCAACCACCUCAGGAGCAAGUGUCCAUCUUCUGGAAAAACAGUUUGCAUACUGGUGUUUUUCAUCGAAACAGAUCUAUUCACACGUGACUGCUGCCCCAUUCUAUUGCUGUUGGCUGAAAAAUUUUGUGCAUCUUAGACAUAAGUCAAAGUAAUCAUACCUAGGUACCUAAUUAUUUUCUCAUUCGAUCAUAUGGAUUCAAGAGAGCACACUUUUAAGAUUAUGGUAUUUUGAAAUAGAAAUGCAUGUUGCACUAUCCUCAUUGCUCCGUGUGGCUUUGUUUACCUUAGGCUGAAUCCAUUUUGAUUUCUUACUAGCAAUGACAAGACACUUUGCUUGUCCGUUGUGUCUGGUUAACCAGGCCUUCCCAUGAAAGUCUCAGGAAUGAAUAGCUCUGUAUUCCUUCAUCUGAGAUUGUCUAAAUAUUUGAACUCAAGAUUUUUCUGUGUCUGGCUGAAAGGUGAAUGAGAAUUAGAGAGGAAACCCAGUGUCUGACAGCAACUUCACUAUCCCCUUCUCCUCCCCAUUGUCAUAGGAAAAAAGGUUCUGGUGAAGGUUAUUCUUUCAAGGAUAAGCUGACAAUUUGGUAAGCCUGUGUAAAAGCACUCUGGCAACUUCUUGAUUAAUUUUGAGAUUUUUUUUUUUCACCUUGUGCUGCUUCAAGGCUAAAUGAGCCUUCAAGGAGGUCAUAGGAAUGUAAGAUCAUAAGAAAUGCCAUAAUAGGUCAAAUUAAUGAGCCAGUUAGUGUGAUACGCUGUCUCUGAGAGUGGCAACAAGGUACAUUUUGUGCAUGUUGUCAGCUUCCAAAUAUUUGAGGCUAUAAGCAGGAGUGUUUCUCAGAUCAAGCAUCUAUUUCAAAUGUCCGUGACUUCCUUUAUUAAUGUGUAAUACAUCUUUAUCCAUAAAUUCACUUAAACCCAUCUGAUGAUGUUUUAAAUCAUGCACUGCUUUUUGUAUCAUGAGCUUUAUAAAUGUUUUCUCUAAUUUUGCCUAAACUGCUUGUGUCACAUUUUCAAGGGUUUCCCGAUUGGAGCUGAUAGACCAGUGACUGUGGUUGUAUGCAUUUCAUUUGAUUGAGGUGUCUGUACUGAGUUGACUAAAUGGUAAAGCCUUUCAAACAGGUGGUGGUAAACUGUCCACCUGCAACUCCUAGCACUUUCGGCCAGCUUUUCUUUUAUUGCUCCAGGGUCAAUACGUUCUAUCGUAUACUCAAAUAUUUCCAUUAGUUAGUUUUUUGGUUGGCUUGGGCUGCUAUAAGAAAAUGCCAUAGGCUGGGUGUCUUAAACAACAGAUAUUUAUUUCAUUCUCACAGUUCUGGAAGCUGGGAAGACUGAGAGCAAGGUGCCAGCCCAUUUGGUUCCUGGUGAAGGCCCUUUUCCUUGUCUGCCUUCUCACUGUGCCCCCACAUGGCAGAGAGAGAGACAAAGUGUGCUCUGGUUUUUCUUCCUCUUGCUAUAAAAGUACUAAUCCCAUGAUGUGGGCCCCAUUCUCAUGACCUCAUCUAAAUCUAAUUACCUCUCUAAGGCCCCAUCUCUACAUACCAUCACAUUAGGGGUUAGAGCCUCGACAGAUGAAUUUGAGAAAGACACAAACAUUCAGUCCAUAACAGUUAGCCAAUUUCCUCUUUUUACGAGAAAGAACUAAUCGGGAUUCUUCUCACUAAAUAAAUAAAUAAACAGUGUUUCUCAGGACUUCACAACAGAAGCUGGACUAUCAAGGAUGUAUGAUGUGCACCCGACAUGGGUCCAUGAGCAGCUGGGCUGUGGAGAUGUAUUUUUAAUUGACAACAAAAAAAAAAUAGCAAUUCAAAAACCCAUUGAAAAGGCAAGAAUAAGGAACAAAAAUGGGUAUUGUGUUCUUUUAUCCACAACAAUAAAAUGACUUUGGUACAAGAUCUGUCUGGCAUGUUGCAGAAUAAAUGAAAACCCAAAUGAAACAAAAUGACAUUUUAUCAGAUUGAAAGGAAGUGAGCAUUUAAUUUUUAAAAAUGAGAGAAGAGGAAUCCAUGCCUGGAGUUGCAGAAGUUCAAAUGAGGGCCUCUCCGCCCCUGCUGAACUGCCUCCUAUCUUGCCCCACUGCUAUCAUAAUUUUUGGUUGGUUAAGAAUAGGAUGGCUCAAUCUUAGAACCAGAAGGGAUGUGAGAGAUUUUUUUCUUGUAUUAUAGGUUAAGAAACUGGACUCCAGAGAGUUUAAAUGGCUUUCUUGCAGCCACACAGCUGGUUUUUGUCUUGGGCAAAGAUAGGUCUUAGAUGCAAGUAUGUCGGCCACCAAGCAGGCAUGGACAGCAGGGCUGCCCUGAUUCCAUGCAUAUAGAUGGGAUCUGUUCUUUCCUGAGACCACUUAAGAUUACUAACAGGAUGUCUUCUUGCAAUAAGACUUUCUUUUCUUCUAAACUCACACAUCACAUGCAGUUAUUUAGUGAGUAAUUAAAAAGAAAAAGGCAAAACAAAUACACCCAAAUCCUACCUUCAUUUCUCAAUCUAUUGAGUAAUCCAAUAAAUUAUUUACUUUUGGAUUACUUGGGUUAAACAGCAUUCCCUGCAUACUAGAUGAGAUGUCUUUGAUCUUGAGCUUGUUUUAAAUAAAUAGUUCUAUCAAAAUAGAAUGGCCUUAACUUUCAGCCCUGGGAAUAAACAAAUAGUCUCAAUCAAUGAUGCUGAGACAACCAUUUAAUAUUUUUCAAGAGGCUAAGAAAAGAAAUAUUUUCAUGCCUACAACAUUAAGUCAGAAAUAGCCUUUGGCACAUAUUUCGCUUGGUCUUUUCAAAGGUUGUGGGAAAAUAUGGGGAAAAAUAUAUAAGCAAAAUUAGCAAGGCUACCAUGACAACAGCAAGUACGCAGAGGCAGAGCUAAAACUCUGGAACUCUCAGAGGGAAGGAAAGGAGGGUCCUUAGGAUAGUUUAUCAGGAAAGAGGCAUCAAGCAUAAAGAGAAUUAUUGCUAAGUGGACAGAUACUGGAACAGAUAUUUAUUGUAAUGGAUUUCCUGUGGUGUGAAAUUUUAUCAAAAGGGCACUGUUACUGGGGAGAGACCAUUUGUUUGAAAUUAUAAGUGGUUUUUGUUGUAGUGAACUCAGUGUAGAAAUAGAUGUCCGACACAUUCAUUUCUGUGGGCUGUCAUUUGUUUUUGUUUCAUGCACACAAGAAGCUGCAUGUUUGAGAGUGAGGAUAAAAAUAUGUAGAGAAGUUUUUUUAGUUGAGUUCUCCAAAGUGGCUGACUCAGGACUCAAGAGUAGACACCGGGCCUCCCAGUGCUCUUUUGAUCACAGCAUGAUUUUUUUUUCCAUUUAACUUGUAAGCCUUAAAUAUUUACAUUCUUUCAUUGGAUCAAGAAAUAUGUAUAGGAAAUUACUGUGUGCUGGUCUUCCAUAGCUGUUGGGAAUACAGUGCCAAACAGGAAAGAGAGCAACAUUACCUCUGUGUGAGGGGAGGAAGAAAAGACACAAUAAACAAGUGAACCAAUAUAUAAACAAGAAAAUUUCUAGACAAGAGGACCAACAAAUGCAAAGGCCUUGAGUCAGUAAUGAGUAUGACAUGUGUCAAGGACAAGAGGAGGCAAGUCUACCCAGAGUGCAGUCAGCCAAAGAAAGUGUGGUGUGUGAUGAGGUUUGAGACGUAAGUAGGGAUCAGACCAUUGGAGGUGUGCAGUGGAAAAUUAGCAUUCAUCCCCAACCAGAUGUUUUUGAGACAUCUAUUAGAAUUAUCUAAAAACAUAACUAAUCUCUCAUCUGGAUUGUUGCAGUAAACGUAGAUUCUUUAUUCACAAGGAAUGUUGAAUCUAAAACUGAUAAGACUUGAGGAUAGUGUGGAUGUGGGAAUAUUAAGGAAAGGAAGCAAUAACAACUCCAAUGUUUUUAGCCCGAGGCAGUGAGUGGAUGGUGCCAUUUACUGGCAUGGGCAAGCCAGGGAGAACAAAUACAAGGGGAAACUGCCUGAUGGACAUAUUAACUUUGGAGUGUCCAUUAGGCCUCCAAACAAUGCGGUCAAGUGGACAGUUACAUACAUAGUCCACAGCUCGGGAGAAAGACCAAAGAUGGAGCUAUAAAUUUGCAUGUCAUCAGCCUAGAGUUAACACAAAGUAAUGGGCCCAAAUGAAAUCACUUAAUGUGCAGAGAAGAGAUAAGAUCCAUAGCCUAGCGCUGGGCACCUUUGAUAUAGAAGAGAACAGGGAGUGGAGGAAUCAACAAGAAGCCUGAGAAGAUGUCACAAAAAGAUAAUAAGAAUGAGGUUAGUAUAUAUCAAAGAAACCAUGAGAGAAAACCAUUUCCAAAAAGAUAAUCGGCUAGGUCAGAUACUGCUGAGGGACUCAAUAACAAGGAAACAGAGAAGUGUAUGUUGGACAAUUAGAAGGUCAUUGGUGAUAUCUAAGACUAGUUUUCCUGCAGUGACAGGGAUGACUACAGUUUUGAGGGAAUUGAAUCAUGAAUGAGAAAUGUGAAAGGAAAAGCUGUUGAGUGUAGGUAAACAUCUGUUCAACAAGGAAAUAGAAAAAAAACUGAACACCCACUCAAGUAAAGGCAUACUUAGUUUUAUUGUUCUUGACUUUAUUGUGCUUUGUAGAUAAUGCAUUUUUUACAAAUUGAAGGUUUGUGGCAACCUCGCAUUGAGCAAGUCUAUUGGUGCCAUUUUUCCCGUACCACGUGUUCACUUCAUAUCUCUGUCACAAUAUUAAUUUUCAUAAUAUUUCAAACUUUUAAAAUAAAUGUUAUUAUUAUAUGU
rnacentral:lncRNA from 10 species